AGUGAACGCUGGCGGUAGGCCUAACACAUGCAAGUCGAACGGCAGCACAGUAAGAGCUUGCUCUUACGGGUGGCGAGUGGCGGACGGGUGAGGAAUACAUCGGAAUCUACUUUUUCGUGGGGGAUAACGUAGGGAAACUUACGCUAACACCGCAUACGACCUACGGGUGAAAGCAGGGGAUCUUCGGACCUUGCGCGAUUGAAUGAGCCGAUGUCGGAUUAGCUAGUUGGCGGGGUAAAGGCCCACCAAGGCGACGAUCCGUAGCUGGUCUGAGAGGAUGAUCAGCCACACUGGAACAGAGACACGGUACAGACUCCUACGGGAGGAAGCAGUGGGGAAUAUUGGACGAUGGGCGAAAGCCUGAUCCAGCCAUACCGGGUGGAUGAAGAAGGACUUAGGGUUGUAAAGCCCUUUUGUUGGGAAAGAAAAGCAGCAGGUUAAUACCCCGCUGUUCUGACGGUACCCAAAGAAUAAGCACCGGCUAACUUCGUG
rnacentral:rRNA from 1 species